ACGGGGGGGGCAAGCGUUGUUCGGAAUUACUGGGCGUAAAGGGCUCGUAGGCGGCCAACUAAGUCACACGUGAAAUCCCUCAGCUCAACUGGGGAACUGCGUGUGAGACUGGCAGGCUCGAGGGCAGGAGAGGAACGCGGAAUUCCAGGUGUAGCGGUGAAAUGCGUAGAUAUCUGGAGGAACACCGGUGGCGAAGGCGGCGUUCUGGACUGUCUCUGACACUGAACGACGAAAGCCAGGGGAGCAAACGGGA
rnacentral:rRNA from 1 species